ACCUUCGUCGUGUAAUGGUUAACACACUCGGCGUGCAUUCCAGAGGUCUAGGUUCGAGUCCCGACGAGGGUA
rfam:Stegodyphus mimosarum contig6084, whole genome shotgun sequence.